CAUAGUCUUUAGAAGAAACUUGGAAUGACCUCAGGAUGGUCUCCCUAAGUCCAGCUGCUUAACUCCAAACUCUAUUGAAUAACAGUUUGCGAAAUCAGCACAUCUCAGAGCUCUCCGCAAGAGCCAGCCUGCGGAUGUUGGAUAUACAGCCAGCAGCAGCUUCUUGGAGAUCCUGAUCCGGGGAUCCAACCAUAUCCAGUAGAAGCUGCCACACAUGCAGGAGGGGGGAAGAAAAGGGGAAUAAGAAAAAACAGAUAUUUGGAUGAAUGCUUUUUGUCCUUUAGAUUGUAACCUCUGGAAGAAUCUUACACUGAUGCACAGUAGAUGUCAAAUGUCAGGUAAAUGAAGCAGAACUUUUAAAAUCUGCCAAUUAUAAUUCUAACUAAUAGCUCUGAUGAAAGAUUUAAAAUGUAAUUUGAAUUGUGAACUUUCAUACAAUAGCAUUUGAGUACUAAGGUGGAUACUGUCGUAGAAUGAGGAUGCUUGAUAAGCAAAGAAAUAUUGUAAAGAAAAAUAUUGUGGGAGUUCUCAUUGUGGUGCAGCGGAAAUGAAUCAAUCCCUGGCUCAGUGGGUUAAAGAUCCAGCGUUGCCAUGAGCUGUGGUGUGGGUCAAAGA